rnacentral:misc_RNA from 1 species
UGAAGUCACAGUUACACUAAUACCAAAA